rnacentral:rRNA from 1 species
CUACGGGAUGCACCAGUGAGGAAUAUUGGACAAUGGAUGGCAAUCUGAUCCAGCCAUGCCGCGUGAAGGAAGAAUGUCCUAUGGAUUGUAAACUUCUUUUGUAUGGGAGCAAUAAGUUGUACGCGUACAAUGAUGAGAGUACCAUACGAAUAAGCAUCGGCUAACUCCGUGCCAGCAGCCGCGGUAAUACGGAGGAUGCGAGCGUUAUCCGGAUUUAUUGGGUUUAAAGGGUGCGUAGGCGGUUACUGUAAGUCAGCGGUGAAAUUUAGGGGCUUAACCCCUACCGUGCCGUUGAUACUGCAGAGCUGGAAUAGGGAUGCUGUUGGCGGAAUGUGUAGUGUAGCGGUGAAAUGCAUAGAUAUUACACAGAACACCGAUUGCGAAGGCAGCUGACAAAUCCCUUAUUGACGCUGAUGCACGAAAGUGUGGGGAUCGAACAGGAUUAGAUACCCCCGUAGUC